GCGCCCGUAGUUCAACUGGAUAGAACGUUGGAUUCCGGUUCCAAAGGCUGAGGGUUCAAGUCCUUCCGGGCGCG
rnacentral:tRNA from 1 species